UUUGGAUGGUAUAUUGUUUAGAUGGUCUCCGUCUUAGUAUAUAUCUAUGUGCUCUUUCAGAUUUAGGUCGACGAGUUUGGGAUUUGAGUGUCUGGACGCAAAAUGAGCGCCGUGUUUAGUUGUACGAUUCUUCAGAUUUAUGUCGUAUCACGGGCUAUGGCUCAUGGCUGCUUCGCCCUGAAUCGAUUCUGCCUACUGCAGGUUUAGCAUUCAGGUUUAAUUGUUCAGAGUGGAUUGCAGUGAUGAUUUGGCUAUGACAGAUUGAUGGCCUAUUUUACCUAGCACAGGUUUAGCAUGAAGAUUCAGUUAUCGUGUAUGAUGCUUUCCCUGUUGUAGUUCGGUAGGUUUGUUUCUUACAUCAAAACUUCGCCUGUUUAUUAAAGCAUAAUAGUUCUGGUAUUUUAAUAGCAGAUAAGCUACUAACGAACCAUGCGCCAUGUUUGACAAGAAUGUCCAUUACCCUGUACGUUCUUCAGCACUUAAAUAGUACAUUGUAUACCAUUACCCUGUAACUGCAACUUAAACAGAAGGACAAAUCAAUUUUGCGUCUCUUCGAGAUGUAACUGACAAUAUUUCCUCAAAAGGUCUACUGUCUUGCUCACCAAAUAUGUUACAUAGUGGUGUUUUCCGUGUUGCACAAUGGACUCAACGAUGCUACAGUGGAGGCGGCCUCCGCACGGUACACAAUUGCCAGAAUCCAUCCCGAAGAAAGCCAUGUUGACGACCAAGAGUAUGUGUUGGUACUUGCUUCCGAUUGAAUCGUCAUUCUUGCGAUGAAAACAAAAUCUCUGGCAUGCAAUUUGGUGAUAGGAUGUUUCCAUCAUUCCAAGGUAAAUAAGACCCAACACAAAUCUAGAAAAGAAGGACCUUUACAAACAUUAUUUCGAAAAUUCAUAUGGUGACAUUAUUCAAGUCAUAUGUCAUGAGAAUAUUUUAAAAAAACUGAGCAUAUAAAGAGAGACAUGCAAGAUGUAUCUAUUAAUCUAGCCAUUCUAAUUGUGAGAAUGAUUUAAGAUCUUAUUGAGACUUUGCUAAAGAUAAAUUGAAAACUACGAAUCAUUUAGUUUAGAAACUUGCAUUUCAGUGUUUAUGUUUCUGUGUAAGUGGCUAGCAUAUCUUUUUCCUCUGAUGCUACUACAUUGUAAGGAAAUCAUGAAUGUUAUUUGGCAAUGUAGAUCGCCAGACUUAUGACAAGAAGUAGAGACUUGCACAAUUUGAAUAGGAACUAAAUCUGGUUAGAAAAAAUAUUUAGGAUGCGAUUUGCCUUAUCUAGCAAAAUGAAACAGGGAAAAUUGAUUCUGAAAAUGGAACAUGGGUGGCACGUACAAUGGAGAGGACAUGGCGCCCGGUCAAGGGAACUCCCAUCAUCUAUUUCCCCUUAUGUCUUCGAUAUUGCUGGUGGCCACUGCUAUUUUAUGCUUGCACGUGAGAAAUUAUCACUGCAUAUGCACAUAGGUGAAGAGCCACAAGCCAUUGCUACUCGGUAGUUACAAAUUUUGACUCAUUUUUUAGUUGCACCUCUUCAUGAGGUCUUCAAAAUAAUACUUUACUUUGUUUGGCAAUUCCUUCACAAGGUUUUAUAUGCACAUAGGUUUAUGGUGGCGAGGUUGGCUGGCGGUAGGAUUGUCGGUGGCCUGUUAUUGAUGAGUUUGUGUUUUGUGUGUGUGAAUCUGGUGGGAACUACAAUAUCGUUGUGUGUUUGGUGGUGAUCUGAGCAUUUUAAGUGUUGGGCAUGUGGAUUUUUGUACAAUGGUGGGUUUCCAAAAACUUGGUUGCAGCCUGCGGCGAGGGAGGUAGAGCAGAAAAGGUGAGAAAUCUAUAUGCAAAGAGGACAUACAAAGUUGGUCAGCAGACACUGAUCUGGAGGCAGUAUAUGUCAUAGUAGUUGAUCUGGAUCCUAGCCAAGGUUUUUUUUUAAAUCAAAGUUUUCCACUGUUUUUGAUUAAGAAAAUCAGUUUUAUUUUCGUACUGUCAGCAGACGAACAUGCUGAUUAACCAUUGAGCUCUGGCUUGUCGGGCAAUGUCACGAAGCUGCAAAUCCAUUAGUUCGGUCCCUUUCAUGAGGAAAUUUUCUUCGUUUGACCUGAAAUCACAAAGGUCACAUGUUUUCUGCUUUAGCCUUUCCUCUUGGACUAAAUCAGUACAUGUCAGUGAAAUGUCUCCUGGUUUAGAUGAAUUUCUGCUACCGCUACUAUGCAUGUUUUGUCUUGUUUAUUGUACUGAUGGUUAUAUUUUGUCUGAAAAAGCAAGGUGCAUUUCUCUCCUAUAUCAUGAGCUCACUAACAGUCUGGUUAAAGUACUCAUGGAUAAGAUGUUUAGGUAACAGUUCUAUUUUCUUCUAAAGUGCCACAAUAGGAUUUUUCGGAAUUCAGCUUUCUUGGAUCUGUAGCUUUUGUUCCACAGCGAGAGGCUCAUGGAUCAUAAUAGGUGAAAGCUUCUCAUGCUUGGAACUUUUCUACUAUUAUUGCUCCCUUAUUCGUCAAAUUAUUCAGGAUAAUGUGUAUCUUUCCUGAUUUGAAUUGGUGGUGGUUGCAAGCAGGCAAUAUAUAACAAGUCAUAUAAAUAUGCUAUUAUAUUCACUUUGAGUUUGGUUAGUCCAACUGAUACUGAAAAUGCACAAAAUACUCUUAUUUUUCUUUACAUUAAUAAAUAUUGGAAAGCUGGACAGUUAUCUUGAAACUUCUAUCUGAACAUUUUCCUUUGCUGAAUUUAUUGAAGUUGUUUAUUUGGUUUUUUUGUGCAGCUAUGAUCAUUCAGGAUAUGGGGCCUCAACAACAAAGUAAAAUUUUAAAUUCCUGGUACUUGCCGCAUUGUUGUGUAGAAUACUGAGGAUGAAAAAUUGAUGUCGUCUUUGCAGCAAUAGAAGUGAACAUGGGUUCUUGAAACAUACUUUCGAGAAGUAUGUGAAUCGACGCUCAAGACACUCAUCCGUACUUGCCUUCCCCGGCGAUGUGGUUCAUCAAACACUGUUAUGAGGUGCUGAAAGCGGGAGCUUAUGGAAGGCCUAAAGCAUCACCGUUUCGGAUAUGCAGAUUUUGAAAAAUCUGACUGGUGAAUCUUAUAUGAUCUAGAUUUAUUGAAGUGUUCUCCUACAAAAUGAUCGAUUAUGUGUAUUUUCUUUCCUAAGCAUCUUUAUAAAAUUGAAAAUGGUUUCUUAGUUUUGUCUGCCUAAAAUAUCCCAGUGUCAAAGGCAUAAUAGAAAUGUUGCAUGAUUUUCCAUCCUAAACUAACUGCACAAAAAAUUGAAGUAAGUGCUAUUGAGUUCAUGUUGUUUGAGUUCUAAAUUCUUAUACCUUCUUUUUAAUAGGAUAUUUUCAUUUUCUACGAAGUUCUUACAAGUAAUUCAACAUAGCACAUUGCACUAGAAACUCAAAGCCUGGCAAUUGAUCUCUGGAGUCCGGGAUGUCACAAUGUUUGACAUUAAUUUGAGCGGAUGUGAUUUAUCUUUGUAUGUUGGUU